rnacentral:rRNA from 1 species
UGGGGGAUAUUGCACAAUGGGCGAAAGCCUGAUGCAGCGACGCCGCGGGGGGGAUGAAGGCUUUCGGGUUGUAAACCUCUUUCGCUAUCGAACAAGGCCCGCUUAGGGUGGGCCGAGGGUAGGUGGAGAAGAAGCGCCGGCUAACUACGUGCCAGCAGCCGCGGUAAUACGUAGGGCGCGAGCGUUGUCCGGAAUUAUUGGGCGUAAAGGGCUUGUAGGCGGCUUGUUGCGCCUGCUGUGAAAACGCGGGGCUUAACUUCGCGCGUGCAGUGGGUACUGUCAGGCUUUAGUGUGGUAGGGGUGACUGGAAUUCCAGGUGUAGCGGUGGAAUGCGCAGCAAUCUGGAGGAACACCGAUGGCGAAGGCAGGUCACUGGGCCAUUACUGACGCUGAGGAGCGAAAGCAUGGGUAGCGAACAGG